rnacentral:rRNA from 1 species
UGGGGAAUCUUGCGCAAUGGGCGAAAGCCUGACGCAGCGACGCCGCGUGGGGGAGGAAGCCUUUCGGGGUGUAAACCUCUGUCAGGGGGGAAGAAUGGGCGCGGGAGGAAAUGCCUGCGUUUUGACGGUACCUCCAAAGGAAGCACCGGCUAACUCUGUGCCAGCAGCCGCGGUAAUACAGAGGGUGCGAGCGUUGUUCGGAAUUACUGGGCGUAAAGCGCGCGCAGGCGGCUCUUUAAGUCUACCCGUGAAAUGCCGGAGCUCAACUCCGUGCACGCCGGGGGAUACUGGAGAGCUGGAGACGAGUAGAGGCAAGCGGAAUUCCGGGUGUAGCGGUGGAAUGCGUAGAGAUCCGGAAGAACACCGGAGGCGAAGGCGGCUUGCUGGGCUUGGUCUGACGCUGAGGCGCGAAAGCGUGGGGAGCGAACAGG